GAUGUUGCAGUUGUUGGGCUUGAC
rnacentral:siRNA from 1 species